UCCACUCAACACUUACUCCCCUGGGAGUCUGGAUGCCCCCCUAUCCAUCUCCAUCCCUACCUGCCACCGCAGUGAACGGCUAUCUCCUCAUCAGGAUGCCAACUUCACAAGGCCACAGGUCUUUGCAUAUUAUGUUCAUCGCUAUAUCCCAGGAACCUAGAACAGUGCCUGGCACUGUUCCCCAAAUGCUUGAUGGAGAAACAGAGGCUCACAGAGGUUAAGUCAAUUGCCCAAGGACGCACAGCUGAAAGGAAGGACUUCCCUGGUGGCGCAAUGGUUAACAAUCCGCCUGCCAAUGCAGGGGACACGGGUUCCCCUGGAAGAUCCCACAUGCUGUGGAGCAACUAAGCCUGUGCGCCACAACUACUGAGCCUGCGCUCUAGAGCCUGCGAGCCACAACUACUGAGCCCACAUGCCACAACUACUGAAGCCUGCAUGCCUACAGCCCGUGCUCCACAACAAGAGAAGCCACCGCAACGAGAAGCCCGUGCACCGCAAUGAAGAGUAGCCCCAGCUUGCCACAACUAGAGAAAGCCUGCACACAGCAAUGAAGACCCAAUGCAGCCAAAAAUAAAUAAAUAAAUAAAUAAAUAAAUAAAUAAAUAAAUUUUAAAAAGAAAAAUAAAUACCAAAGAAAAUUCUUUAAGCCAACAGGAAAUUAUCUCAGACUGAAGGCCAGAUCUGCAGGAAGAAUCAAUAAUAUAAGAAAUGGGCCCUGUCUCAGGCCACGAAAGCGCGGAAAAGGGGAAGAGAAAGGAACUAUCCUGUGCUAAGCACUCACUGUGUACCAGAGCUGAUGACCUCGCGCAUCCUGGUGGGCACCGUCCCUGUGGGGCGGUGGAGCCUCUGAGCUGUGGGAGGCUGGCCCAGGGUCCU